CCCCUUCAGACUGAAGCUCUCUGAGCUGAGGCUCUGGAUUGGACUGUCUUUGCUUUGUCAUCACCUGCAUAACACGCAGUUCUGGAUGCUUUUGAAUGAGACCCUCAGCCAGCAAGUCUUCAGGUGCUCCUCCCUAUAGCAGAUGGUCCAGUUCACAGCCACAUCAGGGAGACCAAGCCAGAGAUUUCCUUGUUCAGCAGUACUAUUGCAGUGGGGUAAAAGACAUCUUGCUUCUUGAUUUUACUUCCUCAGCUAAAUUACAUGUACAGCACCCUACAGAGAGGGCAUUCUGCUGUCACUUGCUAAAGAGAGAAGCACAGGUAAGUAUGUGAACCUUGUUUGACAUUUAUAAGCAACCUGGGCAAUUCCAAGAAAUGCACUAGGUAGUAAGAACACUUACAUAAAGUGUGGUUGACUGACGGUUUAGCCAAAAUGCGAUACCUGGUAGUUUAUGGCAAUUUUCUCUAACAGGAGUAGAUAUUGAAUUUAUUUCAAAAGUGCCUCAAGAGUCCUCCUUAUGCUACCAAAGCAUUAUCACAUUUUCGCAAAGCACACGCUAGAAGAGAAGAUACUUCAGGCCAUAAAAUAAGGACAUUGUGUGUAUGUGUGCAUGUGCAUGUGUGUGCAUGCUGAAGGGAGGAGGGCUUAGCUUACUGUGCUAUUGACUUCAUGUGGACAGAUUGAUAGACUGCAUUUUAUUACUUUGUGGAGAUUGCAAAAUCAUUCCCAAUGCAGAAUUUGUUAAUGAAAAGAAAAAGGGAGUGAUUUAAAGAAAUUUAUUUGAUUUCAAUAAGCAACUCAUGGGUAAUUCCCUCUACGAUAUUUUAAACAAAUAUGCCAGUAAAGGCUUGCAUCCCAUUCUCUGCACAACUUCCUUCAUUCCUCUUUUCAAAUUAAGUUGUAGAAUAACAAAACCCAAUCACCUACUUUAAAAUUCUCUCAGGCGUUUUAACUACAAAGUAAGAACAUUUUUGCUUGCUACUCAGUGGGCUGCUAGCACAACGUGAGAGAAGAGGGUGUGCUCUUUUCAAUAAACAUAAGAGAGAAUCAGGAUAUGUUUUAAAA
rnacentral:lncRNA from 1 species